UAGGGAAUCUUCCACAAUGGGCGAAAGCCCGAUGGAGCAACGCCGCGUGUGUGAUGAAGGGUUUCGGCUCGUAAAACACUGUUGUAAGAGAAGAAUGACAUUGAGAGUAACUGUUCAAUGUGUGACGGUAUCUUACCAGAAAGGAACGGCUAAAUACGUGCUAG
rnacentral:rRNA from 1 species